rnacentral:rRNA from 1 species
CCCAGACUCCUACGGGAGGCAGCAGUGGGGAAUAUUGCACAAUGGGCGAAAGCCUGAUGCAGCAACGCCGCGUGAAGGAAGAAGGCCUUCGGGUCGUAAACUUCUGUCCUUGGGGAAGAAGAACUGACGGUACCCAAGGAGGAAGCCCCGGCUAACUACGCGCCAGCAGCCGCGGUAAUACGUAGGGGGCGAGCGUUAUCCGGAUUCACUGGGUGUAAAGGGAGCGUAGACGGCCAUGCAAGCCAGGGGUGAAAGCCCGGGGCCCAACCCCGGGACUGCCCUUGGAACUGCAUGGCUGGAGUGCGGGAGGGGCAGGCGGAAUUCCUGGUGUAGCGGUGAAAUGCGUAGAUAUCAGGAGGAACACCGGCGGCGAAGGCGGCCUGCUGGACCGCGACUGACGUUGAGGCUCGAAAGCGUGGGGAGCGAACAGGAUUAGAUACCCCAGUAUAC